AAUGAACGCUGGCGGCAGGCCUAAAACAUGCAAGUCGAACGCCCGUAGCAAUACAGGAGUGGCGCACGGGUGCGUAACACGUGGGAAUAUGCCUAUUGGUACGGAACAGCUCCGGGAAACUGGAAUUAAUACCGUAUGGUCCCUUUGGGGUAAAGAUUUAUCGCCAAUAGAUUAGCCCGCGGUGGAUUAGCUAGUUGGUAGGGUAAUGGCCUACCAAGGCGACGAUCCAUAGCUGGUCUGAGAGGACGAUCAGCCACACUGGGACUGAGACACGGCCCAGACUCCUACGGGAGGCAGCAGUUAGGAAUAUUGGACAAUGGGCGCAAGCCUGAUCCAGCCAUGCCGCGUGAGUGAUGAAGGCCUUCGGGUUGUAAAACUCUUUAGCCGAUGAAUAUAAUGACUGUAGUCGGAAAAUAAGCCCCGGCUAACUUCGUGCCAGCCGCCGCUGUAA
rnacentral:rRNA from 1 species